CAUGGGUUAGCUCAGUAGUUGAAGCUUAGGCCUCUGAACCAGAUGGUCCCGGGUUCGAAUCUCGAAUCAAAGG
rnacentral:tRNA from 1 species